UACAGAGGGUGCGAGCGUUAAUCGGAAUUACUGGGCGUAAAGCGCGCGUAGGCGGCUUUGCAAGUCGGGUGUGAAAUCCCCAGGCUCAACCUGGGAACUGCAUUCGAGACUGCAUUGCUAGAGUAUGGGAGAGGGAAGUGGAAUUUCAGGUGUAGCGGUGAAAUGCGUAGAUAUCUGGAGGAACACCGGUGGCGAAGGCGGCAUCCUGGACCAACACUGACGCUGAUGAGCGAAAGCCAGGGGAGCAAACGGG
rnacentral:rRNA from 1 species